UUUUUUUCUUUCUACAUCUGCCGGCAGAGUUGGUGUCAUCUAUUGCCGCGUUCAGUUUCGCAAUAGAUUUAGUUGCCUGCUGAAAGGUUGCCGAGUCACAUUUACAGGUGACCUCAGCAGCUACUCUGGGGAAAAGUAAAGUCCACGUAUCUUAGGAACACAACCGCUUGAAUUACGAAGAUAUGAACGAAGUUUCGAUUCGAGAAAUAUUCCAAGCAUUUAGGAACUCAGCAUCCUGAAAGAUAGGUAUAAUCGAUUCCGUUGUAGGGAUCGUGUAAUGUUAUUUACAUACCCGCAUCAGUUGGCAUUUGGGAAGGAACGUCGUUAGAAAAAAAAGUUAUAAUCUUUUUUUUUUAAUUUGUGAUGACCCUGCUCUCUGCGUCUAAAAUAAACCCGAACGUAA
rnacentral:lncRNA from 1 species